CAGAGUUCUCCCACGAGACUCCCAAACCAUUGUGAACCUACCCGUACGCGUUGCUUCGGCGGGCGUCCCCUCCCUGGGGACGCCGCCCUUCGGGGUGCCCGCCGGCGGCCACCAAACUCUUGCUGUAUUCUAGUGGACUCUCUGAGAAAACAAGCCAAUAAAUUA
rnacentral:misc_RNA from 1 species